GUGAGGAAUAUUGGUCAAUGGACGGAAGUCUGAACCAGCCAUGCCGCGUGCAGGAAUAAGGUCCUAUGGAUUGUAAACUGCUUUUAUUCGGGAAUAAACCUCUUUACGUGUAGGGAGCUGAAGGUACCGAAGGAAUAAGCACCGGCUAACUCCGUGCCAGCAGCCGCGGUAAUACGGAGGGUGCAAGCGUUAUCCGGAAUCAUUGGGUUUAAAGGGUCCGCAGGCGGGCUAUCAAGUCAGAGGUGAAAUCCCACAGCUUAACUGUGGAACUGCCGUUGAAACUGAUGGGCUUGAAUUAAGUGGGCGUUGGCGGAAUAUGACAUGUAGCGGUGAAAUGCAUAGAUAUGUCAUGGAACACCGAAAGCGAAGGCAGCUAACGAUACUUAUAUUGACGCUCAUGGACGAAAGCGUGGGUAGCGAACAGGAUUAGAAACCCCGGUAGUCC
rnacentral:rRNA from 1 species